rnacentral:rRNA from 1 species
UACGUAGGGGGCAAGCGUUAUCCGGAUUUACUGGGUGUAAAGGGAGCGUAGACGGUAUGGCAAGUCUGAAGUGAAAGCCCAGGGCCUAACCCUGGGACUGCUUUGGAAACUGUUAGACUAGAGUGCUGGAGAGGUAAGUGGAAUUCCUAGUGUAGCGGUGAAAUGCGUAGAUAUUAGGAGGAACACCAGUGGCGAAGGCGGCUUACUGGACAGUAACUGACGUUGAGGCUCGAAAGCGUGGGGAGCAAACAGG